CCAAUAGCGUAUAUUAAAGUUGUUGCAGUUAAAAAGCUCGUAGUUGAAUUUCGAGAUCAAUUUGUGGGUCGUGCCUCGGUACGUACUGGCGUUAUUGAUUUCUCCCUUCUGAAGAACCGCGAUGUCAUUAAUUUGGUGUCGUGGGGAAUCAGGACUGUUACUUUGACAAAAUUAGAGUGUUUAAAGCAGGCGCACGCUUGAAUACAUUAGCAUGGAAUAAUGAAAUAGGACGUUUGAUUCUAUUUUGUUGGUUUCUAGGAUCGACGUAAUGAUUAAUAGGGAUAGUUGGGGGCAUUAGUAUUCAAUUGUCAGAGGUGAAAUUCUUGGAUUUAUUGAAGACUAACUACUGCGAAAGCAUUUGCCAAGGAUGUUUUCAUUAAUCAAGAACGAAAGUUAGGGGAUCGAAGACGAUCAGAUACCGUCGUAGUCUUAACCAUAAACUAUGCCGACUAGGGAUCGGAUGAUGUUAAUUUUUUAAUGACUCAUUCGGCGCCUUACG
rnacentral:rRNA from 1 species